CAAUCCCCUUGGCAACCUGCUCCUGCUCCAACUGGGCAGUGGCUGACAGGUAAAGAAUGGGAAGGAAGCGUGCUUCGGUGCAAAAAGGUUAUCAGUCCGGUGCUGUGACAGUCAGCAGAAACCUGCCUUGGUCAGAGGCUAUGCCAGAGACAAAGGGAAGAUAGCCCAGGGGUGAGGAACUAGAGAAUAAGGGAGGCCUGGAGGUGAGGCUUUGUUACCAUGGCUACCAGGAUGCAAACACGGCUGUGCGCAAAGAUGCUGGAAGCAAGGAGCAGCUUCUUAAGAAACCGUUUUUUGGUGUGUGUGGCCUUUUUGGCUGCGUAAUGUGCCUGUUGAAUAAAUAUUUCUCUUUCGCUACAA
rnacentral:lncRNA from 1 species